GACAUAGCUCAGUGGUAAGGCAACUGCUUUACAAGUACUUGUAGAAGGUCCCAAGUUCAAUCCCUGGCUUCUCCA